ensembl:lncRNA
UUAAGCUGAAACCUGUUGGGUGAGGUGGAGUUAGCCAGCUGAAAGUGGUAGAUUUCAGGAAGAGGCUGUUCCAGACGAGCAGGGAGAGCAUCCUGUGUUCAGAACCAAAGGGAGUUUAGUUGGUUGGUGAUUUAAAAUUGGAGGUGGAGUUGGUAUGGGAGUGUGUGUGGAGUGGGCAGGAUAAGGUCAUAAAGGGCCUGGCGAACCGUGUUAAGAAAUUUUAAACUUUAUCUCAAGGGUAGUGGGAAAUCAUUGAAGAGUUUUAAGAUGGUGAGUUAUGUAAUUAGAAGUGCAGAUGGGAAAAUUUCCUCCAGCUUGGGGAUGCGAAGGAUGGCCUGAGAACAGAGGCACCUGUAGUGAUACCCAGGUGAGAGACAUCCUAGCCUGGCUCGGACAGGGAUUUGAGGCUAGAAGAAGUGGGUGGACAGAGUGGAGUUUGGGAGUAGGAGCUCUGUGAGCUUGCUACAGAAACUGAAGUGGGUUCCCUCGUGGCGAGUUAAAUCAGACUCUCCACCAGAAGUAGUUCUCUCACAAACCUUCUCAAGUUGCAGCGUGAGAGUCCCUCAGACACGCUGGCUGCUCGUUUGAUUAUCGGUGUUUUGCACGAUACAAAAGGUUGCUUGCUAAAUUUUGUGAGCCCCUCUAAUGUGAGAGUGACAGUGUCCUGGGUCCAAUGAACAAGAAAAUUUACUGUCACGUAUCAUCAAUGGGGAAGUGCUUGAAUUCACAGAACAGCCUUGGAGAGUCCCGGAGAGGAAGACAAAGCUCAGAAGUUAAGUGAUUUGACUAAAGUCACAGACUUGUCACGUGUGAGGUAGAAGGUGACUCUGUGAUGAGGACUUGCGUUUCUCUUGAGGAACUUGAUGCCACGUAUGGUGACCUGGCCCCUGGGGAUGGGAUGGAUGGUUCCAGUGCUCCUCCAUCCGGCUGCAGUCCUCCACCCCAAACCAACUCCGCUGUGGGAUGUGGCGAGGCUGUUGGGGCAGAGGUCUCUCCUCGGUCCGCCUGGCACCCGGCCACUUCCAGCUGCUCGAUGUGCUCCCUGGCAGUCCUCCUGCCACCCCUCCAUUAUGUCAGCUCUGUUUCCAAAAGCAUAACUUGGUAUCCCUGUAUUAUUCAUCAUUCUCUUAUUUAUAUCCCCUCAGUGUGUCAUACUACUUUUCUGGUUUCUAAUUGUAUUCACUUCUACAUAGACUUACAAGAGAUUUACCUCUUUAGAUUUUUAAACCAGCUUUUGAAUGUAUCACUUCUGUUUUUUCUGUCAUUUAAUGCAUUCAUUGUUGCUGAAGCAUUUUAUUUUGUAACGCUUUUUCUAACAAAUGGAGUUGAGUGUUUUUCCUCAUUUGGAUAUGUAGUUCAUUUAUUUUGAUUACUUAGGGCUUGCAUUUACCAUUGUGCCCACCUUGACCAGAUCCCAUAAGAUUUGUUAUGUAGGGUUUGUGUGUUUUUGUUAAUUCUACACCUUUCCCACCCUAAAUCUUCUUGUUAUUUUGAAAAUAGUCUCAUAUUAGGAUUUAUAUUUCUUUGAAACAACAAUUACUUAGGAGAAUAGUUUCUUUGUCUUCACGUAUUGGGUUUUUUG